AGGACGAACGCUGGCGGCGUGCCUAACACAUGCAAGUCGAGCGAGGAGAUCCUUCGGGAUGAUCCUAGCGGCGGACGGGUGGGUAACACGUGGGCAACCUGCCUCAUAGAGAGGAAUAGCCUUCCGAAAGGGAGAUUAAUACCUCAUAACAUUGCAGUUUCGCAUGGAACAGCAAUUAAAGGAGUAAUCCGCUAUGAGAUGGGCCCGCGGCGCAUUAGCUAGUUGGUGAGGUAAUGGCUCACCAAGGCGACGAUGCGUAGCCGACCUGAGAGGGUGAUCGGCCACAUUGGGACUGAGACACGGCCCAGACUCCUACGGGAGGCAGCAGUGGGGAAUAUUGCACAAUGGGGGAAACCCUGAUGCAAGCAACGCCGCGUGAGUGAUGACGGCCUUCGGGUUGUAAAGCUCUGUCUUCAGGGACGAUAAUGACGGUACCUGAGGAGGAAGCCACGGCUAACUACGUGCCAGCAGCCGC
rnacentral:rRNA from 1 species